rnacentral:rRNA from 1 species
CCUACGGGGGGCAGCAGUGAGGAAUAUUGGUCAAUGGACGAGAGUCUGAACCAGCCAAGUAGCGUGAAGGAUGACUGCCCUAUGGGUUGUAAACUUCUUUUAUAUGGGAAUAAAACGUUCCACGUGUGGGAUUUUGUAUGUACCAUAUGAAUAAGGAUCGGCUAACUCCUUGCCAGCAGCCGCGGUAAUACGGAGGAUCCGAGCGUUAUCCGGAUUUAUUGGGUUUAAAGGGCGCGUAGGUGGAUUGUUAAGUCAGUUGUGAAAGUUUGCGGCUCAACCGUAAAAUUGCAGUUGAAACUGGCAGUCUUGAGUACAGUAGAGGUGGGCGGAAUUCGUGGUGUAGCGGUGAAAUGCUUAGAUAUCACGAAGAACUCCGAUUGCGAAGGCAGUUCACUGGACUGCAACUGACACUGAGGCUCGAAAGUGUGGGUAUCAAACAGGAUUAGAUACCCGGGUAGUC